rnacentral:tRNA from 1 species
GGGCGGUUAGCUCAGUUGGCUAGAGCACCUGGUUUACACCCAGGGGGUCGGAGGUUCGAGUCCUCUACCGCCCACCA